GCAAACAAUCUCCCCUCUUGUGUCCCUGUCUUCACCGUUUCUGUGUUUGAGCUGUCAGCCUGCCAGGCUGUACAGUACUCCUUGUUUAAUCUCUGGUACUUGGCUGGGUUUCUAAACUCAACAAAUUUUAGGGACUCAUGAGCUGAUUCUCUGGGGUAGCGUCUGGCCACACUUUUUCCAUUUGCCAGCCUGUCCCAGGAAAGUAGUUGCACAACCUCCCAGUGGUUCAGAGUUUACGGCAAAGCAGAGCAGAAAGGUGGCACCAGGAUUCUCUGCUCUCAGCCAGCAUCCUCGCUUCUAUGCCUGGGAACAGUACAGCAUGUUGGCACCAUCCAUUCUUCUGUCUCCAGAGAGGAUUUGCUACUGCUCCCAAAUGCACUCCAAGGCUUGAAGAACAAGCUUAAUGGCCUGACAAGGUGGCAAGCUGGCAAGCUGAGAGAGAGGACAACUGACUGGGUCUCUUUAACAAAGAAAGACACAGCGAGAGAGGGAACACAAGCAGGUGGGUGGCAGAGGGAGAAGCAGGCUCCUGGAGGAGCAGGAAGCCUCAUGCAGGACUCAACCCCAGGACCCUGAGACCAUGAUCCCAGCCAAAGGCAGACACUUAAUAACUGAGCUACCCAGGCGCCCCUAUUUUAUAUUUUUAAUGUAAUUUGUAUUUUCCUCUUCAUGUGUCACAAUAUACCUUGUUAAGAUUAUUCCCAAACAUUAUGUGUGUUUUAAUUGCCAUUGCAAACAGGACCCAUUUUGUUUGUUUUUGUACAGGUUGCUGUUAGUAUAGAAAAAUGUUAUUGAUUUUUUAUAUAUUUUAUAUUAAGCCAUAUUUAUAAACUCAUUCAUUUUAACACCUUGCCAGAUGAUUCUUUUAUAUAUAAAAUCUUUAAAAAAUUAUAUAUAUAUAAUUUUUUUAAAGAUUUUAUUUAUUUGAGAGAGAGCACACAAGCGAGGGGAGAGAAAGUGUGAGAGGGAGAAGCAGACUCCCUGCUGUGCAGGGAACUCGAUGUGGAGCUCCAUCCCAGGACCCUGGGAUCAUGACCUGAGCUGAAGGCUGAUGCUUAACCAACUGAGCCACCUGGGUGGCCCCUUUUGUAUUUUCUAGAAACAAAUAAUAUUAGUUAAGAAUGAUGCUUUUCCUUCUUAUAAAAUUCUGUGUAGGGAAGAAUUAACAUAGUAGGUCUGAGACAGCAAUCUUGCAAGACCUGCUUACAGGGUUAGCCUGUGGCUGGUUCCUGGGAACUUGGAUUUGAAAAGGGUUCCCACUGUUCCCUAAGUGAUAAAGGUUGUUUACUGUGCCUACACUGUUUGCACAAGCAAUAUUGGUUAGUGCUGAACACCUGCUUUCCCUGUAGGAGUCUGAAAUUUUGAUAUGUACCAGGAAGAGGCUGCCUAUGUGAGCAACUCCCAAUAAAAUGCUUGGACACGGAUCCCUAAUGAGCAUCUCUGGAGGACAAUACUUCACCAGUAUUGUCUGGAGGGAUGAAGCAUGUUUGUGUAUUUCCACUGGAGAGGACUCUAGGAUGCUUGUGCUUGGUUAUCUCUGGACUUCACUCCAUAUGCUUUCUCCCGUUGUUUAUUUGCUUUGUAUCCUUUCACUCUAAUAAAUCAUUGCCAUGAGCACAACUA